UGGGGAAUUUUCCGCAAUGGGCGCAAGCCUGACGGAGCAAUACCGCGUGAGGGAGGAAGGCUUUUGGGUUGUAAACCUCUUUUCUCAAGGGAGAAGCACUGACGGUACUUGAGGAAUCAGCAUCGGCUAACUCCGUGCCAGCAGCCGCGGUAAUACGGAGGAUGCAAGCGUUAUUCGGAAUUAUUGGGCGUAAAGCGUCCGCAGGUGGUGCCUCAAGUCUGCUGUCAAAGACCGCAGCUCAACUGCGGAAAGGCAGUGGAAACUGUAGAGCUAGAGUACGGUAGGGGUAGAGGGAAUUCCCGGUGUAGCGGUGAAAUGCGUAGAGAUUGGGAAGAACACCAGUGGCGAAAGCGCUCUACUGGGCCGUAACUGACGCUCAGGGACGAAAGCUAGGGGAGCGAAAGGGAUUAGAUACCCCCGUAGUCC
rnacentral:rRNA from 1 species